UCACUUUCUCUUAAUUUUCGUAACCUUUUAAAAAGCCUCCCUUUCGGACUCCUCACUCUUUCCGAAGCCAUCGCCCCAAAAUAGGGCACUGUUUUUUUUUGAAAAUCCUGUAUGCACAAAAUUCAUUCAAACGAAGAUCCACAAUUACGAGGGAAACAUCUGCAGCCAGACGCCUAGCCAUCUGUCACCUUCACAGCCUUUAAAUCAUACUAAUUAUCUAUUUGGUUAUUAGUUUUAAUUAGCUCGAUGUAGACCUACAUGCAUCAACAUCACGGGGGGAAAAUAAUCACCAUUACUUGCUUAGCCCGCCCCUUAUGGACCCCAAGUCAAAUGAGGGCGCACUAUACCGUGCUUCGACAGAGUUGACCGCUGCAUUUAAUUUCGUAAUUAUCCCAAUAAAUGUCUUAAGAUAGUUGUCACAAAGUGAUACUUGGUUUUUAAUCGAAAUGACUCUUUAAACUGACAAAACACUAAUUUAUUUUUAGGGGUCUACAAUUUCUGAGUUCGGUUAAACGGAAGUGGUUUAGAGAAACACAAUUUAUUUUCCUCGGGACCGCCACACCCAACUACAUGUAUUUCUAGAAUUAGUUAUUGAACCAUCAAAGAAUGGGGCAGUCAACUCCAGUAGAGUUGUCAUUGGUAAGUGUAUUGGUACUUUGCAUAAAUUUAAGUGUUGAAUAUUCAUUUAGCCAAGUGAAUGCAUUUAUUGAAUUCUUGGGCCUUAGUAUGUAGCAUUGCUGAAAUGUUUUUCUCCGGGUUUAUAAGCAAAACGAGUUUGGAAUGGGGCAGAUUUUGAGAUGAGAUUCCGAGGAGAGGGCAGAGACCAGCCUCGAUGAUUUUGAGAAAUAAUUUGUGAGAAAUUUUUGAUAUGGAGAAGCCAAAGGAGAGGGCUCAGCCAGCCUACGGCAUUAGUAUAUUUUAAGCUUGAGCUAGUAAGAGCCAAGCCGCUGAAACCUUGGACAAGCUAGGAAUCACCCACAUUCCUAGCUUUUGGGGGUUGAGAAUAGUGCAACCUUUGACCAGAGGACCAGAAGCGACAGGGCAGGACCGCAGCGGCGGACAAGUUACGGACCAUCACAGGCGCUACUGAUCAUACCCCAAGAUCCCAAGAUCAAGAUACACCGGGACGGACGCAUCGAGUAUUAAUGAUUGUAUACAUUGUUGAUAAUUAUUUUGGGGAUUUUGAAGAAGAGACCAAACCUUUGCGUUGAAACGUUGAAAUAUAAAUAAAUUGUACAUAAUAUAAAUAUAA